UAGGGAAUCUUCGGCAAUGGGGGCAACCCUGACCGAGCAACGCCGCGUGAGUGAAGAAGGUUUUCGGAUCGUAAAGCUCUGUUGUAAGAGAAGAACGUGUGUGAGAGUGGAAAGUUCACACAGUGACGGUAACUUACCAGAAAGGGACGGCUAACUACGUGCCAGCAGCCGCGGUAAUACGUAGGUACCGAGCGUUGUCCGGAUUUAUUGGGCGUAAAGCGAGCGCAGGCGGUUUAAUAAGUCUGAAGUUAAAGGCAGUGGCUUAACCAUUGUUCGCUUUGGAAACUGUUAAACUUGAGUGCAGAAGGGGAGAGUGGAAUUCCAUGUGUAGCGGUGAAAUGCGUAGAUAUAUGGAGGAACACCGGUGGCGAAAGCGGCUCUCUGGUCUGUAACUGACGCUGAGGCUCGAAAGCGUGGGGAGCAAACAGG
rnacentral:rRNA from 1 species